rnacentral:tRNA from 1 species
UAGCUCAGCGGCAUAAGCACCUGCCUUGCAAGCAGGCGGUCCUGAGUUCGAUCCCCAG